rnacentral:rRNA from 1 species
GUGGGGAAUAUUGGACAAUGGGCGAAAGCCUGAUCCAGCCAUGCCGCGUGAGUGAUGAAGGCCUUCGGGUUGUAAAGCCCUUUUGUUGGGAAAGAAAUCCUAUCGAUUAAUACUCGGUGGGGAUGACGGUACCCAAAGAAUAAGCACCGGCUAACUUCGUGCCAGCAGCCGCGGUAAUACGAAGGGUGCAAGCGUUACUCGGAAUUACUGGGCGUAAAGCGUGCGUAGGUGGUUGUUUAAGUCUGCUGUGAAAGCCCUGGGCUCAACCUGGGAAUUGCAGUGGAUACUGGGCAACUAGAGUGUGGUAGAGGGAUGCGGAAUUUCUGGUGUAGCAGUGAAAUGCGUAGAGAUCAGAAGGAACAUCCGUGGCGAAGGCGGCAUCCUGGGCCAACACUGACACUGAGGCACGAAAGCGUGGGGAGCAAACAGGAUUAGAAACCCUUGUAGUCC